rnacentral:rRNA from 1 species
UACGAAGGGGGCUAGCGUUGCUCGGAAUCACUGGGCGUAAAGGGUGCGUAGGCGGGUCUUUAAGUCAGAGGUGAAAGCCUGGAGCUCAACUCCAGAACUGCCUUUGAUACUGAGGAUCUCGAGUUCGGGAGAGGUGAGUGGAACUGCGAGUGUAGAGGUGAAAUUCGUAGAUAUUCGCAAGAACACCAGUGGCGAAGGCGGCUCACUGGCCCGGUACUGACGCUGAGGCACGAAAGCGUGGGGAGCAAACAGG